rnacentral:rRNA from 1 species
UCUUGACAUCCAGGGAAUUUAGCAGAGAUGCUUUAGUGCCUUCGGGAACUCUGAGACAGGUGCUGCAUGGCUGUCGUCAGCUCGUGUUGUGAAAUGUUGGGUUAACGUCCGCAACGAGCGCAACCCUUAUCCUUUGUUGCCAGCACGUAAUGGUGGGAACUCAAAGGAGACUGCCGGUGAUAAACCGGAGGAAGGUGGGGAUGACGUCAAGUCAUCAUGGCCCUUACGAGUAGGGCUACACACGUGCUACAAUGGCGUAUACAAAGAGAAGCGACCUCGCGAGAGCAAGCGGACCUCAUAAAGUGCGUCGUAGUCCGGAUUGGAGUCUGCAACUCGACUCCAUGAAGUCGGAAUCGCUAGUAAUCGUAAAUCAGAAUGUUACGGUGAAUACGUUCCCGGGCCUUGUACACACCGCCCGUCACACCAUGGGAGUGGGUUGCAAAAGAAGUAGAUAGCUUAACCUUCGGGAGGGCGUUUACCACUUUGUGAUUCAUGACUGGGGUGAAGUCGUAACAAGGUAAGCGUAGUGCU